GUUUGCUUGGAGAGGAGCUGGAGGAAGGAUGGAUCUCUGGGACAGGACCAGCCUGUAACGAGAUGCCUUGAUUAAGGCAAGCAAAUGGCUUCGUUUGUCUGAUUCCAGGACAGGUCCUGACGUUGCACACCGAGGAAACAAGUCCCUUUCUCACAUUUCCAGCACUGGACAUCGCAGAAAUGGCCUGACCGUGUGAUUCAGAUCAGGCUAUGGUUACUGCCUAAUACAGGUUCUGAGGAUUUCUGCCUCAACAAAGAUGUGGUCAGUGCCCUUGCCCUGCGCGGGAGGAUGAAGUGACUCUCUCAAACUAUUCAGCUAUACCUGGUGACCGUGUCCUCCCAAGCAGCAAACUCCUCGAAGGACGCAUAGGGCACUCUGUGCCGUGUUUCCAGACUGCACAGCUGAGCUGUCAGUAUGAUCCUCCUUCCCUCCGGAGAUAGUACAAAGUGUUUCACCGAGGCGAUGGCAUUACCGGAGCAGUGCAGGGACAGGCUGGGCAUUUUGGGGUCCUUUCCUAAGAAAUCGCACAGAGCCCACUGACAUUGUGAGAUCUGAUUUUCAGAGCAACACGAGGCACCAAGUGCACAGGGCUGCUCAGCUCUAACGGCCCUUUUCUUUUCCUAAAAUUAUAUGGAAAAUAAUUUGGGUACUUUCCCCAGUGCUUUGGGCUUAAACCAGAACCACCCUCUAAAUUUCUCACCUUGAGGCUUGCCCAUAAGUGGAUGUGUAGAAGACGUUUUUUCCCCUUCUGAUCUUUUACUGAAAAUACAGUCUUUCUUAAAAUAAAUCCCAUUAUC